UCUAUGUGUUACUUCGCUCGUCGAAUUCUUCGUUUUUCGUUCCAUUUAAAUACCUUAACACUUUAAAUGAAAAUAAAAUACUUAUAUUUGUGUACAGUACCCGGCGAUAAAUAUUGCACAUCGACCGUGGGAAAGAGACGGUUAAUAUUUGCUUCGUAGAGCGUUAUAUUUGUCACAUAUUACUUAAUGGGGUUGGCAACUGUCAAAGUGGCGCUGAUGUGCAUUGUUCCCAUAACAUUCAAUAUUUGUAUUGGAAUUUUUGAUUAGAAAUUAUUUUAAACACAAUGACGGGUUGUUUUGUGCCAAUAUGCUCAGAAAUUGGAGUACAUCAAUUCCCGAAGGACAAGAAAAUUGGAAGACUGUGGUUAAAGGCCAUUUGACGCGAAAAAAGUACUCCCACAAAAAGUUCGAGGUUAUGUCGUAAACACUUUGUGGAAUCUGACUAUGAAAACAUUAGUAAAUACACAGGUGUCAAACAUCAACAUAAAUAUCUGAAGCAAGGUGCUGUACCAUCUAUACUUUCAUGGAAUAUGAAACCAUUUUCUGAAGAAACAAAAAGUAGAGAACAAAGGCUACAAACUCGUAACCUUAAAAACAGCUUUUUAGCCUGCCCAACACUUCCCAAUACUGUGAAGAUAUAGUACCCCUUGAAGAACACAGAAAUGUGCAUUUUAAUUCAAAUAUCUCACAAGAAAUUUUAAUAGAAAAUAAUAACUCUAGUAUAGAUGAAACAAUUACAAGGCAUCAUAUUUCUAUUGGAACUCAAACAUCCAAUACAUUAAGAUUGUUCUCUACAGAGCUAUUACUUGCAGACGAUGAGAUAGUGCAAUACUACACUGGGUUGGAAACAGCAUCUAAGUUUUCAUUAGUUUUAAUCACACUUUUGCCAAUGGCAAAUGAUAUAAGGAAUUGUCAAUAAAAAUAAUUAAAAAUA